AUGAACGCUAGCGACAGGCCUAACACGAUGCAAGUCGAGGGGCAGCACAAGGAGCAAUCUGAGGUGGCGACCGGCGCACGGGUGAGUAACACGUAUGCAACCUGACCUGUAAGCGGGGAAUAACCCGUUGAAAGACGGACUAAUACCGCAUAAUACUAAAUUACUGCAUGGUAAUUUAUUUAAACAUUUAUGGCUUACAGAUGGGCAUGCGCAUGAUUAGCUAGUUGGAGAGGUAACGGCUCCCCAAGGCAACGAUCAUUAGGGGUUCUGAGAGGAAGGUCCCCCCACACUGGUACUGAGACACGGACCAGACUCCUACGGGAGGCAGCAGUGAGGAAUAUUGGUCAAUGGACGAGAGUCUGAACCAGCCAAGUCGCGUGCAGGAAGAAUUGUCCUAUGGAUUGUAAACUGCUUUUGCAGGGGAAUAAAGUGCAUCACGUGUGAUGUUUUGUAUGUACUCUGCGAAUAAGGAUCGGCUAACUCCGUGCCAGCCGCCGC
rnacentral:rRNA from 1 species